rnacentral:rRNA from 1 species
GAUCCUGGCUCAGGAUGAACGCUAGCUACAGGCUUAACACAUGCAAGUCGAGGGGCAGCGGGAUUGAAGCUUGCUUCAAUCGCCGGCGACCGGCGCACGGGUGAGUAACGCGUAUCCAACCUUCCGUACACUCAGGAAUAGCCUUUCGAAAGAAAGAUUAAUACCUGAUGGUAUGAUGAGAUUGCAUGAUAGCAUCAUUAAAGAUUUAUCGGUGUACGAGUGGGG